rnacentral:rRNA from 1 species
UACGUAGGGUCCGAGCGUUGUCCGGAAUUAUUGGGCGUAAAGAGCUCGUAGGCGGUUUGUCGCGUCUGCUGUGAAAUCCCGGGGCUCAACCCCGGAACUGCCUUUGAUACUGGUAGUCUUGAGUUCGAGAGAGGUGAGUGGAAUUCCUGGUGUAGCGGUGAAAUGCGCAGAUAUCGAGAGGAACACCUGCGGCGAAGGCGGGUUGCUGGGCUGACACUGACGCUGAUGCGCGAAAGCCAGGGGAGCGAACGGG